GGAAGGUGGAUAUGUUAAUAGCAUAUCAUUUGACGUUAGCUGCAGAAGAAGCACCGGCUAACUCCGUGCCAGCAGCCGCGGUAAUACGGAGGGUGCGAGACGUUAAGUCGGAAUUACGUGGGACGUAAAGCGCAUGCAGGUGGUUUAGUUAAGUCAGAUGUAGAAACGGCCCGGGGCUACAACCGUACGGUAAUUGCUAUUUAGAAACGUGGACAAACUAGAGUACUGUAGAGGGGGUAGAAUUUCAGGUGUAGCGGUGAAAUGCGUAGAGAUCUGAAGGAAUACCGGUGGCGAAGGCGGCCCCCUGGACAGAUACUGACACUCAGAUGCGAAAGCGUGGGGAGCAAACAGGAUUAGAUACCCUGGUAG
rnacentral:rRNA from 1 species